rnacentral:sRNA from 1 species
UUUCCUUCUACAAUCACGGAUCUGUGCCCAGACGUCCUCUGCUCGCCGCGUCUCUGUUUACAGAACGCGGCCGAGUUCAGAGUCGAUGUCUGCGGCAGUUCGAUACAUCCUAUGGAGACAUCGCAUGCUUUGCAAGAAGCUAUGGUGUCAAUGUCCUAUCGACAGGUCCCAGAGCAGUUGGGUUUUUCGUCUGGGGAGAAGCCGAGUUCGCCGCCUUUUGUGCGGCUGAGCGACGUGGACCAGACGGGGCCCGAGACCAUCAUAUUCCAAGCCGUUUUCUGAGACCGUCGGUCGAUGAGGUUGGGGAAAACCAUGAUAAGGUUACAUUU